AGAUCUUCGGAUGGAUUUAAAACAGCUUAGUGGCGGACGGGUGAGUAACGCGUGGGUAACCUGCCUCACACUGGGGGAUAACAGUUAGAAAUAGCUGCUAAUACCGCAUAAGCGCACAGUACCGCAUGGUACAGUGUGAAAAACUCCGGUGGUGUGAGAUGGACCCGCGUCUGAUUAGCUAGUUGGCAGGGCAACGGCCUACCAAGGCGACGAUCAGUAGCCGGCCUGAGAGGGUGAACGGCCACAUUGGGACUGAGACACGGCCCAAACUCC
rnacentral:rRNA from 1 species